rnacentral:ribozyme from 1 species
AGGCAAUAAAUAAAACAGCAACAAGAGACAAAGCAAAAGUCAGACACUUGGUUGCAUACUAAUCAGUUCGGUUUUGUUCAUGCUUUCAUUCAUGACAUCGAUUAGAGGAGAAGGUCUGAUUUAUUAAGACCACGGGGGACCAUCGCGCUACAUUU